rnacentral:rRNA from 1 species
UACGUAGGGGGCUAGCGUUGUCCGGAUUUAUUGGGCGUAAAGAGCGUGUAGGCGGCCAACUAAGUCAGACGUGAAAUCCCUCAGCUUAACUGGGGAACUGCGUCUGAGACUGAUUGGCUCGAGGACAGGAGAGGAACGCGGAAUUCCAGGUGUAGCGGUGAAAUGCGUAGAUAUCUGGAGGAACACCGGUGGCGAAGGCGGCGUUCUGGACUGUUUCCGACACUGAAUAACGAAAGCCAGGGGAGCAAACGGG